rnacentral:lncRNA from 1 species
CCUGAUGUUAUAAUAACAUAAUAAUGGCCGAUGCUAUAAUAUCCUCUAGUUUAUAGAGUCAUGGGCUACCUCUACUCUAAUACUAUUUAUAAUAACUUAUGAUCUUGUCCAAAAAUACCAGCAGAGAGAUAUUAUUUGAAUUCGUUGGCUCUAAAUAAGUACUGAAGAUCUUGCCAGGAUAUAGCCAAUGUAGGACUGAGCAUAUGCCCCACAUGAUCCUC